AUUGAACGCUGGCGGCAGGCCUAACACAUGCAAGUCGAGCGAGCGGCGGACGGGUGAGUAAUGUCUGGGAAACUGCCUGCUGGCGGGGGAUAACUACUGGAAACGGUAGCUAAUACCGCAUCCCAUCAGAUGUGCCCAGAUGUGAUUAGCUAGUAGGUGGGGUAACGGCUCACCUAGGCGACAAUCCCUAGCUGGUCUGAGAGGAAGACGAGCCACACUGAAACUGAGACACGGUCCAGACUCCUACGGGAGGCAGAAGUGGGGGAUAUUGCACAAUGGGCGAAAGCCUGAUGCGGCCAUGCCGCGUGUGUGAAGAAGGCCUUCGGGUUGUAGAGCACUUUCAGCGGGAAGGAGUUACCCGCAGAAGAAGCACCGGCUAACUCCGUGCCAGCAGCCGCGGUAAUAC
rnacentral:rRNA from 1 species